GGCGCGUUUUGGGCCCGCCGCUGCACAUGAGAUCUAUUGCGGCGGGUCACGCAAUAGACCCUUACAUUCCCCCACCGGACCUAAAUUUUCCCACUGUUUUUUUUUUUUUUUUACCCCUUUUCGUUUUUAGCUAGUCUCCCACACAGACACGCUCUCUCUCUCUCUCAGACCCUUCGAAAAGCACCUCACUGUCUCAUCUCUAACACUACCCACAAACCCACAGCCACAGCCACAGCCACCACCACCCACAACCACAGCCAUCACCACCACCACCCAACCCCCAACCACCAAAUCACAAACAAAAACAAACCACUGUAAACCCACAGUCACCACUAGCGAACCCAACCCCCAACCACCAAAUCACAAACAAAAACAAACCACUGUAAACCCACAGUCACCACUAGCCAACCCAACCCAGCAAACCCAGAGUCACCACCAGCCCCCAUCACCCACCCACCUGCCACCACCGUAAAACCCAACCCAAAAUCAACCCACCACUAGCCAAUAAACUAAAAAAGAAUAAAAAAUCCCUUACCACCACUACAAAACAACCACCAUCUGACCAAACCUCCGUCGACGAAAUCGUGUAGCCGUAGCUCCGGAGGUCACGGUCUUCUUCUUCACACCCACUCUCAUCUCAAACUCAGGUGCUUCUUAUGUGAUGCCGUUUACUGCCUCCGAAAAAACCCAAGGGGUUUUCGAAUCGUAGAGCAUCAGCCACCUCGCGCUCAGAGCUCAGAAUCCUCCACCUUUACCUUCGAUAAUGGCGACUCAGAUGACCUAAAAGCGAAAGGCUAUCAUCAAUUCGUCAUGCCCCUGUAGGGAACUCAAAGUUGCUGCCAAUCUUGUGAAGUCCAAGGCCAAGCACAUCAAAACCAAGGCUUCUGACUUCUCCCCAUCUCCUCUCAAACCCACCACAAAGGAAGCAACCUGGUUUGAGUCAGCGGAACUGGAACCGGGUGAGUUUGGCAGCCCCCAUCAAGAGAGAUAGUUGGAACCGGUCACUUUCCACCAGGUUUGACAUCUUUGACACAUCUGAAAAGAGUGAGCUUCACAAGUUACAACAACUGAAAGAUGAACAAGUGACAUCGCUGCUGAAGGGAGACGGAUAACAAAGCUUGAUCAGAUUUUACUAAAUGGAAACAACAUUGCCAUUUUGGUCCCUGGUGAUUCACCUGAUCUAGAAUGAGUGCAGCUAGCCUCUACUCUGUUAUUGAUUUCCUCUUCCUCUACUGUGGUUGGGGUCAGAUUACUCUUCUGUUUUAAUGAGAAUUCUGACCACUAAGAUGCUCUUUUUACCACCACUUUGAUAUUAGUUAGUUAUCAUGAUUGUUGGAUAAUGGUGGUGGGUCUAUCAAUGAUCGUAGAUUAUGAUGGAUUGUGUUUGUCCUAAUAGUUAGUUUGUAUUGCUAAUCAUAGUUACUGUGCCAUGAGCUCUACUAUUGCUUCAGAUGAUAUUGUGUGGUUUCAAAGACAAAAUUUAACUUUAUCUGCUGCCGGUUAAAUCAAUGCUAAGUAGACUUGUUAAUUGUAAUGC